rnacentral:rRNA from 1 species
CUUUACUGUAACUUGAAAUUGAAAUUGGACUUUAUUUGCGCAGUAUAGGUGGGAGGCGUUGAGAAUAUUCUUGCGGGAAUAUUGGAGCCAUCAGUGAGAUACCACUCUUGUAAUGUUAGAUUUCUAACUUUGGAUCAUUAUCUGGUCAAAGAACAGUUUCAGGCGGGCAGUUUGACUGGGGCGGUCGCCUCCUAAACGGUAACGGAGGCGUACAAAGGUUUCCUCUGAACGGGUAGAAAUCGUAUCUAGAGUGUAAAGGCAUAAGGAAGCUUGACUGUGAGACUUACAAGUCGAGCAGGGACGAAAGUCGGUCUUAGUGAUCUGACGGUGCUGAGUGGAAAGGCCGUCACUCAACGGAUAAAAGUUA